UCCUACCUCUUAUUACCCUGAGACCGAAAGAUAACGGAAAGACAGGCAGCCGGCCUUCCCUUCCCUGGAGACACUCAAGUCAGGCGUGGACUCUGGCCCCAAGCAGCCGUGUGCGCUUGGGCUGACUGCCUACCGUUCUGAGCCACCUUCUCCUCUGGAGGUAAAGUGAGGUAGAUCGCCUACCGAUCACCGAUCCGCCGUGAAGACGAAAAGAGAUCACGUCACUGUUUGUCAAGGGCCUAGUACAGCGCCUGGCGCGCACAACAACCCCUCCCCGCUGGGACGGCAGAGAAAACCCGAGCCCGCAGACGGCACCUCGCUCCCGUUCCCCUGCAUCAAGCCCUCCAGCCCACGGUGCCCCCUUCCUCCCGCAGAGGCACAGCUGUACCUGCUCAGGUGUAAAGAUGCCUCCCGAAUUGCGGCAAAGCCCAGUGGCUCAGAGGGGGGCUCGGAAUCAGCUCCCGGGGUUUAUAUCCGGUUCCACCGCUUACGAGCCUCUGAGACCCAGGGCCGUUUAAGUCAUUUUUUUGCACUCCAGAACCCUCAUCAGCAAAACGAGAAUAAUACCACAAAUCUCUUUAGAAGUGAGGGUUAAAUGAACGAAGUCACUAGCGUGAGGCCCACCGCGUUUUUAAGUGCUCAAUAAAUUAAGCCAGCCCAAACUUGUCUCCUGAGUUCCAGACGCAUUCAGCUACACUAUGCUAUAGACGGAUCUGGAAGACCUGUGUUCCCACCGCUCCGUGUGUUGGCAGCAGUGGGACCAAGGACUUUGCCAGUUUUAAGCUGCAGGGCUUGGAACCAGAAGAGAGACAAGGUCCAAGAGGAGAGAAGCUCGCCUGGAGAAUGGAACGGGCAAACUCACUCUGACACUGGCUUUUUUCAAGUCCUGUUUUCCUCCCUUCAGCUCCGAGUUUGGACCCGUGAGCUUCCCUUCCUGCUGCCAGGUUCAGCCGGGCUUUUGGCUUCUCUAUCCCUCAGUGACAAAAUCAUGUCAACGGCUCUGCACUCACCAGGGUUAACUGUGGAAAUCAGAUGCAAUGCUCUGUAAACUUUGCACAUGUUCGUUGUUGUUAUUCUCGAGCCACGUCUGCAUGUUCAAGGGUUGGGAUGUUACUCGUUAAGAGAGCUUUCCAGUCAAAUGAAGGACUUAAUUUAUUACUGAGAAAUGCUAAUUUCACUUGUUAUUCAGUAACAUUUGGUGUCCACUCCACCAGUAUACUAAGUGUUUUACCUGGUUAUCUGUGACAUCGGUAUUUUAUUUUUCUCCAUUUUACACAUUCAAAAAUUAAGUUUGGAAGAUGAAGUCGUCUGCCCAAGGUCGUCUAUUUUAUAAAAAGCAGAGCUGGGAGUCAAAACUGAUGCCAAGCCUUUGUGGUCAACCACAACAUACAAGAUUGCACAGACAGCCGAUGCUUCACAUCCUUUCUCCUGUUCACAACUGGCUGUCUCUUUUUACUGUACGUUUUUAGAGAUAGGGUAGUGUAUCGAUCAUAAAUCUUUCUUAUUACAACAUAACAGUUGUCUCUUCAGGGCUGUCCAGUUAAGUGGGGUAGGGUGAAGGGGGUUAGGACGGUGAUUCCUCUCUACAGUAAGUGCCCAAGAAAUGAGGAUCCUAAUUAAUGCUUAAAAUAAAAUGGGAAAACUGGAAAGUACUUACUCAUGACAGUAACUGGUGAUUUGAAAAUGUACCUCUCAGUUGAUCCGAGAUCUCUUCCCUUUCUCCUUUCUCGGGCUCCUUUCUCGGCUGUAGAUCAGAAGGCCAGGCCUGGGCUGGAAGGCAGAUAAGUUCACCCCUGGGUGCUUCUAUGCUUAUGAGCCAGCGGCUGGGGAGAAGAUGCCAUUUCCGGUGGUAUCUGAGGCCAAUGACACGAGUCAGCAUUUACUUUUUUGUAUUAGGAACCGGAAGACUAAUGACCAAAGCUUCAAGGCAACAAAUGUGAAAACGCGAAGUCAGUCCAACAUACAGCACCUUCCCGGAAUUUGGCUCUGAGCUGGUUUUUAUUUCACUUUUCUCAGUAAUCUGGGUGUAGCUUGUAUUUACUGACUCUUAGACUUUGUUUUGUUUUCACAACUCAGACCCUCGGUUCUUCCUGCCUUGUAGCUUGCGCCCCGCCGAAAAGGCAGAGUGGGGAAGGACAGAAAGAGGGGAGAGGAAGGGGAAGUGAGAAAAGAGAACAGGAGGGGAUGAUAAGAAGCAGACGGUUCCCUCUUCAAAUGGAUUUGUGAUGCACAUUCGUGUGCUGCAUUAGUUUACAUAGCGCCUCCAAAUCCUCUCCUUCACCCUCCCACCACCCUGUGCGUGGAAGAGCCCACCCCAGAACUAUGGAGAACUACAGGCCUCCAGUAAGCUCAGACAGUGGCCGACCCACAAGGACCUGCCGAUUUCUCCUCUGCUGUUCCGCUGGGAAACCGGCAGGGACCUGGAGAGCGGUCUUUAGAUUGGUUAGAUACACGUCGUGCUUUGUUGUCUGUGAUCUGAAGGCCGAGGAAUAUUCCCUUCCCUACAGGUACCAAGAUGAAAGAGAAGGAGGAAACGAAUCGGAAAAGAAGAAGAAGAAGGACAUGAAGCUCUAAAAAAGUUUUUCCCCAAACCGGGAGCCUUUUAUCGGUGUAUUAAGCACUUUAGGAUAGAGCGUUUCUCCAUGGCAUAAGAUAACUAAUGAACAAGAGUAAUGGGCUCCAAAACAGUCCAGAAAUAUGUGCCCUGUGCACUUAGUUUGUGUUAGUUUUUUAAAUACUAUGCUAGUUAGAGGCGUCUAGGUGGCUCAGUCAGUUAGGCGUCCGACUCUUGAUUUUGGCUCAGGUCAUGCUCUCACGGUUCAUGAGUUCGAGUUCCAUGUCUGCACGGUCAGUGCAGAGCCUGCUGGGGCUUCUCUCUCUCACUCUCUCUCUCUCUCUCUCUCUCUCUCCCUUUCUUUCUGCCCCUCCCCUGCUCACUCUCGUGUGCUCUCUUUCUCAAAUAAUAAACUUAAAACAAUUAAAAAUCAAUACCGUGCUAUUUAGGUAAAUUGGCCUAUAAAACAACCUAGCAGCCUUUUCUUGAGAAAUGCCAUUUUCCCUUCACUUCAUUGACGACCCAAAGCGUGGCUCAAAACUGCAUCCAUUACACAUUGUUUUUAUUCUCUUAUCAGUAGCCAUAAAGCAAGUUAUCUUGCAUUUUUUCCAUGACUUUUACUACAAUCGUUAUUGUGUCUCAAGGCAAGGCUGCAUCUAGAUAUUUACAAUUCAGGCUAGUAUGUCCUAUAAUUGAAAGUUUGCCGUUAUUUCUAUAAAUGAAUUUUCAACCGCUCCGGUUCUCUGAAGUCCGGCUAGUCUGUGUACCGUGAGGGUGAAAAGCCCUCGUGAGGUCUCGAGGGAGGAUGACCCAAACUGGCCUAAUUCCAAGACUAGAGCCGGCACCGUGCAAAUGAUAAUCUCGUUUUACUCUUUGAAUUUAACAUAACACUGUUUGAGACCACACAACAGCUUUUCUACAGAUUUUCCCACUUCCAAGAACUUAUCUAUGGAGACAGUUACUGUUGCUAUUCUGGCCCCAUUCCGUGUUCCGUAGCUCAGUGAGCUGGCUUGCGUUCUUCUCCACCACACUUUUCCUAAACAGCCGUGAUCACUUACACAUGUAUAAGGUUUUACACUUGGAAUCUCACAACAGACCCCGCUAGUAAAGCAAGGCAAACUUUAAUUAUGAUGGUCACCUUGCAGAUGGUGAAGCCGAGGCCCGGAGAGAGCUUGAAUGACUGUCACCUUGACGGGGUGCUCAGAGCCUGGGGGCACGAUGAUGACAGUGUGUCCUCUUCGCUGCCUUCUCAGCGGGAGGCCAGAAAGGGCGCCCUGCUGUUAUUAUUCGGCCUAUUUUCGGAUGGUAUUUAAUGGCACAGAACUUGAAAAGGUACAAGUGGUAUAAGCAAGAAGUCCCUCUCCCUUUCUGGUUUCCUAAUCCCUCAUUCUUCCUUCCAGAAGCAAUAUGGUCACUGGCUUAUCUAUUCUACCAGAAAUAUUCUAUACAGAUAACCUAUAUCUCUCGGAAGUAUUUUAUUCUCUCUUCCUUCCUUCUUUCUUGAAGAGUCAACUUCCCUUUUUACUGAAGGCAGACGUCUGGAACGAAUACGAAACCCACUCGGAGCAGAUGCUAAACUGCCGAAAGGCUUUGGUAAACCGAUCACCCAGAUUGUUCCAAAUAUCCAGAUGUUUGAAAUGGUACGGAAAACUUGUGACUCACAACAGCUUCUAAAGGAGUUAGGCGAAGCCCUCCCUGUGGUGUCGCACUAUAAUUGACUUGGGCCCUCGUGCCCUGCCUGGGGACCACUUAAACCUUGAUACGGAUUUGGAAUACGGCAACUGCAUGUCUGUUGACAGUGUGAAUUGAAACCAGGGCUACGAUACUGUGAAUGAAGUGACUCUGAGGCCCACACAGACUUGAGUUGGAAAACUAAUUCUGUCAUUUAUGGCUGCAUGACAUCGGUAGUCACUGAACUCCUUGUGGCUUGAUCUUCUCAUCUACAAAAUAGCGACAAUACUAACUGCUACAUAGGGGCACCAGCGUGGCUCAGUCGGUUGAGGGCCGACUUCGGCACAGGUCAUGAUCUCGCGGUUUGUGAGUUCAAGCCCCGCGUCAGGCUCUGUGCUGACAGCUCAGAGCUCAGAGCCCGGAGCCCGCUUCGGAUUCUGUGCCUGCCUCUCUCUUUCUGCCCCUACCCCAACUCAUGCUGUUUCUCUCUCUCUCCCCAAAAUAAAACAUCAAAAAAAACAUCAACACAUGAAAUGUCUUUCUCUCUCUACCCAAAAUAAAACAUUAAAAAAAACAUUAACACACUAAAAAAAUGUUAAUAACCACUAUAUAGAUGUGAUGGUUAAAUGAGAAAAUACACCCAGAGCACCAAGGAUAUAGUAGUGUAUAAUAAAAUAUGUCCACAUCAUUAACCGUGGCCCAUGGUUAAUUUUGUAGACUUUGUAAAUUUUGUAAAUUUUUCUUCCCCAGCAAGGGGGAAAGUUGGUUAGGAGAUUUUUAAUUUUCUUUAAGAUGGGAACAGUGAUAGUAUGUUUGUAUGCUUAUAGAAAUAAGUCAGUAAAUGGGGAAAACUAGAUGAUGCAGGAGGAAUACCGUGGUAGACCCCGUUCUCGGUGCUAGAGAUACAGCUGUGAAUAAUGCAUUAAAAAAAAAAUAAUAAAAGCCUUGCCCCUAUAGAGUUGACAUUUGGGAUUGGGGGAGGCAGACAACUAAAAAACAUAAGUAAAAUAAUAUGUUAGCUAGAAUAGGAACGUGAUUGUUGGAUGGGGAAGAUUCAGGGGCUGUGGGUUGGAAUUUUAAACAGGAUAGUGACAGAGUUCCAGAUACAUCACCUCAGAAUGGCACUCCCUCAUACGGAAUAGUGUAAGCUGAAGGAAUUUGUGAAAUGGCAGGUGCUGGAAGGACUCUAUGACCUCCCCCCCGCCCCCCGCCCCCAAAGCAGGUCAUAAAGCCCGCUUGGAAGAGGUGCCCUCCCCUUACCUGGAAGAAAGUAACAUCCUUAUCUCUGAAGACACCAGGACUCAGCAAGGAAUCCAAACAAACAGCUGUGGGUAAGUUCCCCCAGUUCACCACCCUUAGCUGGUACCCUUUGUCCUACCGGUCUUCAUCGAACCCAGAGUAAAAAAACACUCCGGCUUAACCUUCUUUGGGGGCGUCAUUUGUUUCUGAAGGCUAAUUUGUGUGCUCUUCUCUUGUCAAUCUGCCUUUUGUUACAGAGACCCAGCUGAGCACCUGGAAAGGGCAGAAGGGACCAGCAGUGGUCUGGAGAAGGCCUCCCAGAGAAGAUGAGAUUUGAGCAAAGUCUGGAGGGAGGUGAUGGAAACCCCAUGUAGAAAUCUGGGGGAAGGCAGCUCCGAGCAGAGAGAACAAUAAAGAGGAACACUGUGGUUUUUCUUAUCUUCUUGGAAUGGAGUGCUUCAAGCAGGCCUGAAAUCAACCCACUGAAUAUGUACUUAUAAAUACACGUAUUUCAACAAACUGCUGUGUGUUUAUGCUCAAAUCUAUGAGUGGCUACCUUAAAAAAGGAUCACAUUUGGCAAACCACAAAACAGUAUGCGUUUUCUUUGUAUGACUUGCAACAGUCUGCAUAUUCUCGAUAAUUUCUCUUCAAGGCACUUGCAUUUAGCACUUUCAGGCACAUACGAAUAAUUUGUUUCUACUGAGGCCCAAAGUUUUCUCUGAUCGUGUACUAAGAAUUCUGAGACUGGAUUAAAACUUGUAACAAAUUCACCUUAGUAACCGAAUUCAGUUCUGCACUAAGUCAGUACCUGCAAAUCUCUGUGUUGUUGAGGAGUGAGGCUAGAAUUGGAGUUUGGGAGGUUAUAGGUCGAGAAGAGCCACAUUGGUGGUUUCA